AAAGGACAUUGCCACCCGUUGGGCCCCUUAUUUGUGAUAGAGUGUCAAGAAUAUUUUAUUAUUAAAAAUCAAGUCCUAAUUUUAUAAAACUAACUAUUUUUUUUCAGAAUUUCUUGUACCCUAGCAUUGAAAAACAUAAUUAAUAUUUAUUUUAUUGAAUCUAAGCUAGUUCCGCCAUUAAAACUUAACCUGAAUGUUGCCAGGUAGACAACAGACUAUCUCAUUUAAGUGUCUUUUUAUAAAACUGUUUGUUUUCCGAAUAAAAAUAAAAUAAAAUAAAAAUAAAAAAUAAACUAUAUCUAUAAAACGGUUACACAUACCACCAUAUAUGGAAUACAACAAUAACACAAUAAUUAGUAAAUGAUAUUAUUUAUAACAAAUCGAUUUAGGAAAUCAAUUAACAAAAUAUUUAACAUGGUAACAUCUACUCGGAACGCGCGCGAGUCUAUCUGUCAAAUCAAUACGUCAUUCAAAUUGUUUUCGUGCCGGUUGUUAUGCGUAGAGUUGAAUUUAUUCCUCCGUAUUUGCUUCUGAUCGUUACAAUUUGCGUAAAAACUGUCGAGCUGAUCGUUUUCGUGCCUCCAGUGGUUUUUUUUUUAGAUAUUGGACUCUUUUCUUAGUGAUGAUAAGUGAGCACAUUGACUCGUGAGCAUUGGACUCUUGUUUUUAGUGAUAUUGUUGUUUUACUCCGGAAAAAUGUCUGCACCGGGUAGAAGUCGAGUAAACUACUCUUUGUGUCGCCGGUGUGUUAAUUGCUCUUUACGUAUAGCGCCUAAUCUUCGUAGACGUUAAUUGAAGAAAUAGAUGAACCAAUGCUUAUCCUUCUAAGAUCCUGGGUAACACCUACAUUGAUAUCUUCUGAUGACAUCCUGUGUGUGAAAUGUUUUGUAUUAUUACAAAACCAGAUAGCAUCUAACUCAAAUCUGUCACUUGUAUCCCCUGCUUGUGGACACCUAAACAUAUGCUACGCAUGUGGCUUGUCAAUAGCAAGUCGCAGAACUUAUAGAGUCAGUCAAGAUUGUCCUCAAAGGAAUGUUAUACUAAGAUGGACACAAGCACAUCAUGUGUUGCAUUUGGAACGAGUUUGUCUUCCUUGUUGGGCGGCUGCAUCAAGACAAGUCCGGAGGCAACCCGUUGCUGGCAGUAGCCAACACACUGCUGCACCGGAGACUGGUAUCAUGGAUGGAAACAUAAUUACAGAUAUGAUGAUUCCUGUACCACCACCACUGCCACCGCUUUAAUGAUAUAAGCGUUCCAGCACAAUUUCUAGACAACAUAUACCUUGAAGAAUAAAUGUCUAUUAUUUUAAUUGGUUGUGUUUUUUCUUAUUAAACAUCUGUAUAGCA